GACAGAGGGUGCGAACGUUGUUCGGAAUUACUGGGCGUAAAGCGCUUGUAGGCUGUUCGGAAAGUCGGGUGUGAAAGCCCUGGGCUCAACCUAGGAAGUGCACUCGAAACUCCCGAACUGGAGUCCCGGAGAGGAAGGCGGAAUUCUCGGUGUAGAGGUGAAAUUCGUAGAUAUCGAGAGGAACAUCGGUGGCGAAGGCGGCCUUCUGGACGGUGACUGACGCUGAGACGCGAAAGCGUGGGGAGCGAUCCGG
rnacentral:rRNA from 1 species